AGUGAACGCUGGCGGUAGGCCUAACACAUGCAAGUCGAACGGCAGCACAGGAGAGCUUGCUCUCUGGGUGGCGAGUGGCGGACGGGUGAGGAAUACAUCGGAAUCUACUCUGUCGUGGGGGAUAACGUAGGGAAACUUACGCUAAUACCGCAUACGACCUACGGGUGAAAGCAGGGGACCUUCGGGCCUUGCGCGAUUGAAUGAGCCGAUGUCGGAUUAGCUAGUUGGCGGGGUAAAGGCCCACCAAGGCGACGAUCCGUAGCUGGUCUGAGAGAGUGAUCAGCCACACUGGAACUGAGACACGGUCCAGACUCCUACGGGAGGCAGCAGUGGGGAAUAUUGGACAAUGGGCGCAAGCCUGAUCCAGCCAUACCGCGUGGGGGAAGAAGGCCUUCGGGUUGUAAAGCCCUUUUGUUGGGAAAGAAACCCAGCUGGCUAAUACCCGGUUGGGAUGACGGUACCCAAAGAAUAAGCACCGGCUAACUUCGUGCCAGCAGCCGCCGUAA
rnacentral:rRNA from 1 species